rnacentral:rRNA from 1 species
AAUCAACGCUGGCGGCGUGCCUAACACAUGCAAGUCGAACGAUGAUCCCAGCUUGCUGGGGGAUUAGUGGCGAACGGGUGAGUAACACGUGAGUAACCUGCCCUUGACUCUGGGAUAAGCCUGGGAAACUGGGUCUAAUACCGGAUACGACCAUCUGGCGCAUGACAUGGUGGUGGAAAGCUUUUGUGGUUUUUGGAUGG